CCCUUAGAUGCUCUGGGCCGCACGCGCGCUACACUGGUCGAUGCAACGAGUUUCUUUCCUUGGCCGACAGGCCUGGGCAAUCUUUGAACAUCGAUCGCGAUCGGGAUAGAUUCUUGUAAUUUUUGAUCUUAAACGAGGAAUUCCUAGUAAACGCAAGUCAUCAGCUUGCAUUGAUUACGUCCCUGCCCUUUGUACACACCGCCCGUCGCACCUACCGAUUGAAUGGUCCGGUGAAAUCUCGGGACGGCGGCUUGGUCGCUUGCGUCCGACUGCUGAAACUUGAUUAAACCAUAUCAUUUAGAGGAAGGUGAAGUCGUAACA
rnacentral:rRNA from 1 species